GCGUGACCUAGUUGACAGGCUCUGAGGUGCUGCUGUGGCGGCGUCCGCGGGGCUGAGGCGGGUGGGAGCCGGAGCCGAGCGCGGGCUGAGGGAGGGCGGCGACUGGAGAGCGGCGAGCGGCGAGCAGCGCAGGACGCGGAGCCUCUUUCACUUUUUCCCUGCUGAGUGCCCCCUCCCACCCCUCCCACUCCACACACACCCUGUUUGCCCGUGAGCCUGGGGAACUUGCAGCUUAAAGCCAGCCACCCCCACGGCAACAUGUACCCCAGCAACAAGAAGAAAAAGGUGUGGAGAGAGGAGAAAGAACGUUUACUGAAGAUGACCUUAGAAGAGAGACGCAAAGAAUACCUAAGAGACUAUAUUCCCCUGAACAGCAUUCUAUCAUGGAAGGAGGAGAUGAAGGGCAAGGGCCAAAAUGAUGAGGUUUGUAGUGGUAUUCUGGACCACUUGAAAGGCCCAUCCUUUUUGUGAGGAGAUGGAUAU
rnacentral:sRNA from 1 species